GGUGGUAAACUCCAUCUAAGGCUAAAUACGACCACGAGACCGAUAGCGAACUAGUACCGUGAGGGAAACUUGAAAAGAACUUUGAAGAGAGAGUUCAAGGUUACGUGAAACCGUUCAGGGGUAAACCUAAGAAACCCAAAAGAUCGAACGGGGAGAUUCAUCGUCAGCGACGCUGGCUUCGCGUCGGUGGGCGAUGCCACGCGGGGCCCUCGCGGCUCGCGCGCCGGCACGCCGCCGUGCCUCCGAUGUCCGGCCGUCGUCGUCGUGCACCACUCCCCUAGUAGAACGUCGCUACCCGCUGGGUGUCGGUCUACGGCCCGGGUGCGGUGGCUGACGCGACGCCGGUAAAACGGCCCGCGUCAAACCCCCGGUCACCCGGCCGACUGCCCGGCGGUACACGCAACGUUUUAGGCCGCAGCUCGCUGUGCGUCGAGGCCGUCGCAAGCGCGCGCCACGAUACACGGAUGUUCAACAGAACUAGCGCCGUCACCGGUCCUGGCCCGCUUCUGGCACGUACGGUUAACCUUCGACAGUCCCACAACGCGUCCCCCGCCGCGUCCGCGCGCGCGAGGGGACCGCGAUACCGGUCGGCGACGCUACUGCUUUGGGUACUCUUAGGACCCGUCUUGAAACACGGACCAAGGAGUCUAACAUGUACGCGAGUCAUUGGGACUUGUAAUGGUAUACCUAAAGGCGAAAUGAAAGUGAAGGUCGGCCCUGGUUGUCGACCGAGGGAGGAUGGGGCGCGUCGCGAUGCGGCUCCG
rnacentral:ncRNA from 1 species